GCCCGGUGGCGUGCGCCUGUAGUCCCAGCUACUCGGGAGGCUGAGGUGGGAGGAUCGCUUGAGUCCAGGAAUUCUGGGCUGUAGUGCGCUAUGCCGAUCCGGUGUCUGCCCUAAGUUCGGCAUCAAUAUGGUGACCUCCCGGGAGCCGGGAGCCACCAGGUUGCCUAAGGAGGGGUGAACCAGCCCAGGUCGGAAAUGGAGCAGGUCAAAAAACAUAUAGCUAAUGUGUUAGUUUCUAAAUUUUCCACUUCUUUUAGAGGUAAAAAUGGUAUUGGCUUUU
rnacentral:SRP_RNA from 1 species